rnacentral:tRNA from 1 species
AAAGCGUAGCUUAUACCUAAAGCACCUGGCCUACGCCCAGAAGAUUCCAUGAAUAAUGGCCGCUUUGA